CUCUUUUCUCAAGGAGGAAGAUCUGACGUUACUUGAGGAAUAAGCAUCGGCUAACCCUGUGCCAGCAGCCGCGGUAAUACAGGGGAUGCAAGUGUUAUCCGGAAUUAUUGGGCGUAAAGCGUCUGCAGGUUGAUAUUUAAGUCUUUUGUUAAACCUCCGGGCUCAACCCGGAAUCUGCAAAGGAAACUAUCUAUCUUGAGUAUGGUAGGGGUAAAGGGAAUUUCCAGUGGAGCGGUGAAAUGCGUAGAUAUUGGAAAGAACACCAACAGCGAAGGCACUUUACUGGGCCAGUACUGACACUCAGAGACGAAAGCUAGGGGAGCAAACAGGAUUAGAUACCCUGGUAGUCCUAGCUGUAAACGAUGGAUACUAGAUGUUGUGUACCUUAGGGUAUGCAGUGUCGUAGCUAACGCGUUAAGUAUCCCGCCUGGGAAGUAUGCUCGCAAGAGUGAAACUCAAAUGAAUUGACGG
rnacentral:rRNA from 1 species